rnacentral:rRNA from 1 species
GACGAACGCUGGCGGCGUGCUUAACACAUGCCAGUCGAACGGAAAGGCCCUGCUUUUGUGGUAUUCUCGAGUGGCGAACGUGUGUGUAACACGUGAGUACCCUGCUCUUGACUUUGGUAUAACUUCAGGAAACUGUGUCUAAUACCGGAUAGGAGCUCCUUCUGCAUGUUGGUGGUUAGAAAGUUUCGUCGGUUGGGGAUUGACUCGCGGCUUAUCAGCUUGUUGGUGGGGUAGUGGCUUACCAAGGCUUUGACGAGUAGCCGGCCUGGGAGGGGGACCGGCAAAAUGGGGACUGAGAUACGGCCCAGACUCCUACGGGAGGCAGAAGGGGGGAAAAUUGCACAAUGGGCGGAAGCCGGAUGCAGCAACGCGGCGUGCGGGAGGACGGCCUUCGGGUGGAAAACCGUUUUCGCCUGGGACGAAGCGUGAGUGACGGUAAUGGGUAAAGAAGCACCGGCUAACUACGUG